rnacentral:rRNA from 1 species
GACGAACCGGACAAACGUUAUUCGGAAUUACUGGGCUUAAAGGGUUUGUAGGCGGCCUUGUAAGUCAGGUGUGAAAUCCCUCGGCUCAACCGAGGAAUAGCGCUUGAUACUGCAAGGCUUGAGGGAGACAGGGGUAAGCGGAACUGAUGGUGGAGCGGUGAAAUGCGUUGAUAUCAUCAGGAACACCGGUGGCGAAAGCGGCUUACUGGGUCUCUUCUGACGCUGAGGAACGAAAGCUAGGGUAGCAAACGGG